rnacentral:rRNA from 1 species
UAGGGGAAUCUUCCACAAUGGGCGAAAGCCUGAUGGAGCAACGCCGCGUGUGUGAUGAAGGGUUUCGGCUCGUAAAACACUGUUGUAAGAGAAGAAUGACAUUGAGAGUAACUGUUCAAUGUGUGACGGUAUCUUACCAGAAAGGAACGGCUAAAUACGUGCCAA